rnacentral:rRNA from 1 species
CAGUAGCCACGGUAAUACGUAGGGUGCGAGCGUUAAUCGGAAUUACUGGGCGUAAAGCGUGUGUAGGUGGUUGUUUAAGUCUGUCGUGAAAGCCCUGGGCUCAACCUGGGAAUUGCGAUGGAUACUGGGCGACUAGAGUGCGGUAGAGGAUAGUGGAAUUUCCGGUGUAGCAGUGAAAUGCGUAGAGAUCGGAAGGAACAUCUGUGGCGAAGGCAGGUCUCUGGGCAUUAACUGACGCUGAGGAGCGAAAGCAUGGGGAGCGAACAGGAUUAGAUACCCCUGUAGUCCAUGUCUCUUAUAC